AAAAAACACCGAAAUCGUAACAAAAAAUGCAUUGUGUAAGAAUUCAUAGUUUCUUUUUUUUAUUCCAGUUUCCAGUAAAGUAGUUAAAAAAAAGCAAAUAAAAAAGGAAGAAAGGAAUAAUAAGAAAAGACACUUUCUUGUUGCUUUAAUAGCAAGUAUUUUUUUUUCAAUCAGAUACUAUGAUUCGUUGGAACAAAAAAAGGCCCGGCUAGAUACUGACCUAGCCCGGCCAUGGGAUAAAAAAGGCCUUUUCGAACAAAAUCAAAGAAAAGAAGUCUUCUUUAUUUUGAUUUUUCUUUAUAUUUAUAUUGGAUCUUUCCAGCCCUUCUUUUAUCUAAAUGGAAUUGCUGAUAAAAAAUUGUACCAUAUCUAUAUAAUAAAGAUAAAGAGAGAGAAAGAAAGACUUUUUUGAAUCCUUACUUUACGUGUAAUGUAACAUAGUAAUUAUCUUUUUUUUAUUGGGAGAGGUGGCUGAGUGGACUAAAGCGGCGGAUUGCUAAUCCGUUGUACGAGUUAUUUGUACCGAGGGUUCGAAUCCCUCUCUUUCCGUUUCCCUUGAUGACUUGAUAUUUGAUUUAUCUUUCAAAUUGUUCAAAUCCCUUUUCCUUUUUCGUAGUUAAACGUGUGAAAUAAAUAAAACCCUAAAAAAAUUUGAAAAUCAAGCAAGGAAAGCGAAAAUCCUUUUUUUUUUUUAUUCUUCACGUCCAGGAUUACGUCCUGGAUCAUUAGAUAGGAAACCGAAGAUGAAGAGAAAAACAAAGAAAAUAACUACUGUGUAAACGAAAAGUUUGAGAGUAAGCAUUACACAAUCUCCAAAUUUUUUGGAAAAAAAAAAAAGAGAAUAGAUCGUCUAUUUUUAUACCACAUAUUCUCUUUUGACACCAAGAAAUGAAGUGCUUUCUAGAAAUAGAAAAUAAUUUUCAGAAAUUUAAAUUCAUUUGUCAUAAGAGUCUUUCAUUACUAAAAUUUUCUUUCAUACCCAGAAUUAGAUAUUCUGGAGGACCUUAUUAGGGUUAGUGUCUUUCAUUGGAAAAGAAAAAGAGUCAGAAUGGGGAAAUGGGGUGAUUCAGAUUUAUCGCAUCUAUCCAAGAGUUUCAAUGUUUGAAUUGAGAGUUCAUAUUGUAAGACUUAUCUGAUCUUAUCAAUUGUUAGAAUUUCUGGAAAAAAUCAUGAAUUUUCUAGGAUAAUAUUAAAGAUCUCAUCGAAAACUUACGGCAGCUUGCCAAACAAAGGCUAAGAGAAAAAAAAGCACAGGUAUGACUGGCAUAACAUCUACAAUUGGAUUCAAAAAAGCAUAGGCCUCGGGCAAUUUGGCGAAGAAAAAACUACUCGAAUAAAGGGCAGAAUUAAUACAGAUACAGAUCAAACUAAAGAUAUUAAGCAUAACAGACAUUUUGUUCUUGGAGAUAAUUGCAUUUUGAUUGAGUUUUUGAUAUAAGUAAAAACGAAGAAAGUAAGGUAGACAAAAAAUCCUUCUUUUUCUUUGAAUUCACCCAAUCAAAAAUCCUCCCAUUCUCAAAGGAGAAUAGAAGAAAUUAUACUUUCAUACAAUAUCUUAAUUGAAUUAUAUGUAAUGAUCAAUAAAUUGAAUUUAAUUCUAUAUCUAUACGUGUCAAAAUCCUAGCAACAAUCUAAUCUAUUCUUAGAUAUUUGGACUUGAAUUGACGACCAACCAAUACCAACAUUAUUCUUUAUUAGCGCCGAAUAGAAAUGAAAAUGGGGCGUGGCCAAGUGGUAAGGCAACGGGUUUUGGUCCCGUUAUUCGGAGGUUCGAAUCCUUCCGUCCCAGAGCAUAUUCCAUUCUAUUAGAAUAAAGAUUCUUUUUUGAACAACUUUCUUUUUAAAUUUUAAAGGUCUAAUAUUGGAUAGAAUGUGAUUCUUCUUUCUGCUUUUUAAUGAUUCUUCUCUGAAUCAUAUCUUUCUUUCACAAACUUGAAUUGAAUCGAGUUCAAAUGACACACAGAUUUAACUGAAUCUAUUUAUAAUCCAGAUAAGAUAGGAACAUAGAGCACAAGGAUUUGAAUUCAAAAAUAAUUGGGCGGGCUUUUCAUCAUAUGUUUAUUCUCUUCAUAUUUAUAUUGAGGGAAGUUAGUUACUUAGAAAAACCUUCCGUCCCAUAUUGAAUUUUCAACGAUGCAUUUUUAAUCGAAAUGCGAAAGAACCUAUAUUUCCUAUCUCUUAUUCCCUAUUCUUUAAAUGAAGUAGUCCAAUUAUUAAUUCUCUGUGGAUCUCUGAAUUUCUAACCAAGAGGGAGUUCUUGGUACUAUAAUUGAAUUCUAUUAAGGGGAUUCAAUCUCUUUCUUAAGACUGGGUUAGGGUAAAAAGGGGAGCAAAGACUUAAUCUAUACUUGUUUGGCUUUAUCUGUCCGAAUCUUAUUAAUAAACAAUCAAGUUACAUAUGUAAUCGAUGUAUUUUAUUUGAACUUCAUUUUUAGGUAUUUCAUGUUUGGUUCUAAUGAAUAAUUGUAAAUCUAUGUAAGGAUUGAGAUAGGGGUGAUUCAUACAUUUUAUUCACUUUACUUUAUGACAAGAUUAUAGAAAGAUUACGGAAUCUCAAGUCAAACAAAAUACCAAAAUACGUAUAUAAAAUGAGGAAAUGCAUAGCCUGUAUGUAUAUAUUGUUAUCGCUCUAUUUCAGUGACAGUAGUUUUUCUUUGUGAAAAAAAAAUGGGAUCUCUUAAAUUUGAAAAUUUAAAUAUUUAACAUAGAAUAUCUAUAAGAGUGACAAUUGUUCAGUCUAUCUGAUAAAUCCCCAUUCUUUCAUCUAAUUAAGAAAAUCAGAAUCGAAAGAAUAAGGACUUAAAUCUUACCUUACAUCAGUCUUUUUUAUUCAUUUAUUCAUCUCAGGAGAAAAAAGAGAAAUUUGAUUUAUUGUUCGAUCUAUCUAUCUGCUUUAAAUCAUUGAUGAUUCCAUUCCAAAAGAAAUAGAAAUUUCUCUCUUUUAUGAUGAUCAAAUGCGGUUCUUACUGUAAAACUUUAUUCAAAUAAUGAUGUCAAAGUAGGAAACUUAAUUAUAAAUUAAAUAUUUUUAAUGAUUCCUUAUGAGUUGAAUCUUUGAUACUUAAAGAAGUGUGAGAUUGGUGAAUCUAUCCUAUUGAGUUACUUGAAGUGAAGAUGCAGAUAUUCAAAAAGAACUCAUUUAUUCGUCUUAUUUAUUAUUUUUAUGGUAUUUAUUUAUAUAUUUUUAUUAAUAAAAUAAAAAAAAAUUUCAUUUCUAUUUAUACAAUAAAAUAUUUAUACACUAAAAUAGGGGGUUAAGUUGAAUUCUUGCUAAAACUUCUUCAGAAAAACAUCUAUAUAGAAGAAAAAAAGUCUAGAUUACUAUGUACCGACUGAACCAAUGAUUAUUCACGAUUCCAUAAUUGAAUCAAUUCCAUAUCCAUACCGGCUACAAAUUAAAGAAAUGUUAUGGUAAAACUUCGUUUGAAACGAUGUGGUAGAAAGCAACGUGCGACUUGAAGGACACGAUCCGUUGUGGAUUCUUACAUCCACCAUUUUAUAUAGGAAUGAAGGUGCUCUUGGCUCGACAUCAUUUGUUCUGUCCCACUAGAACCCCUCUUUUUUUGUUGGGUUGUAAUGGAAAUAGUCCACGAUGAAGCUCGAGUAGAAAGUAUUGAUUCAUUUCUCAGGGGUAAGGAUCUAGGGUUAAUGCCAAUCAAUAAAUUGGAACAACUUCGUAAAUAUAUCUUCAAUAUAGAAAUCGAAAGGGUUACAAGUUUCCAAUCCCAAAAGGUAAAUUUCUUGAAAUUGAUAAAACUCUUUCGAUACAAAGUGUAUCGCGUGGGAAUCAACCAUUUGUAUGAUUCUUUGAUAGAAAGAAAUCACAAAAAAAGGUAUGUUGCUGCCAUUUUGAAAGGAUUAAGAAUCACCGAAGUUAUGUCUAAACCCAAUGAUUUAAAACAAAGAAAAGAUAAAGGAUCC